UAAAAUUAAUAAACUGAAUUCGAUAAUAGAAUCAAAAUAAGUAAAAUAAUAAUGGACAGAAAACAUUUAUGCCCGACAUGUGGGAAGACAUUUCUUCAUCAAAGUAAUUUGCAAGUACACAUGCGAAUUCACAGGAAUGAAAGGCCGUAUGAAUGCAAUUUGUGCGAAAAAAGCUUUACGCAGAAGACUCAUUUAGCAAGGCACAUGAAAGUGCACUCGGAUGAAAAGCCGUACAAGUGCAAUUACAAUGGCUGUGGAGAAAGCUUAAAACGGAAAAAAUACUUGAAAGAACACAUGUACGCAUUGCAUUCUGAUGAAAUUUUAUCUAAAAUUCCACCGAACGACCCGAGAAUAAUAAGCCGUAAAUGUAACAUCUGCUCAAAAGUUUGUGCAUGUCCUGCAGCUUUAAAGACUCACUUGAAAACUCACACUGGCCAUUUUCGUGUCAUUUUUGCAACGGCAUUU